AUCAUUUAAGCUGAAAUCCAGCAUGAAACCAGGGAGGUGAUGGCCAUCGCACAGGCCAUGUGCCGACCAUUCACUUUCCACCAGCUUGUGACUUGCUCCAUGAAGGGAGCAACAACUACAACUGGGUCACCAAGACCAAGCCUCCCCGCUGCUGAGAGAAAUGCAAUCAUUGAUGUCAUAGCCAAAACCUUUGACAAGCCUCUGGUUGAUGUUGAAGAAAAGAUGAGAGGUUGUUUAAGGCAUCUGCGGCUGAUGCACAAGUAGACUGAAGUCUUUGUAAAUAAAAUGUGCUGUUAAAAUGAUUAUUUAACCAUUGUUUUCGCUUUGUUAUAUAGAUUUGCACCUGUUUCAACAACAUUAACUUAUU